rnacentral:misc_RNA from 1 species
GGCUAAGCGCAAACUACUUAGACGAAGUUACAGACGCAAUUUGUCAUUUUGUAAAAUCUAGGACUGGAUGGUUAAGUUAUUCUUUGCCUAGUGUUUUUUGGCACCUUGAAAUUGAAUGAUACUACUACCUUUUGGUGAUGUGGUCCAGUGUUUGGCGGUGUGAGAGUAGCAUGCCAUCUGAACUUCUGAAGUAAAUUUACUGAAGUUCAAUGUUGGACUUUUCCAUGUUGAUUUCACGUCUGUCUUUCUGUUAGCUGGUGUUGACUUGUAUAAGGAGGGGGGGUCUGGAGGUGUGAUUUGGAUGCGUUCCAACCAACUUUAUCUUUGUAUCUUAACAUCAAUUAAUUUGAUGGUUAAAAUUGUCAUCUCACUUCACUCUUGAUAACUUUAUUAUAAUAAUUACUCUGAAAUGCCAAGAUUUUACUUUGAUGCACUACUAUAUCUCGUUGUAGGUGACAAAAGCGUAUAAUUAGAU